AUGAGGAAGCUGAUCACAGAAGCUGCAGAAGCAUGAGGAAGAAGUUUCCAGGGAACAAACCUUCAGUCCAGCAGAGCUCAGACCCAAUGCACCAAGACCUCAAUGUGUGCACCUAGGAGGUGGCCAGGCUCUGAACCCAGGGAGGUGGAGAGAAAGGGCAGAGGACUCUUGCAUCCCAGCAGAAGGACUAAUACAAGGAAAAGCCAGGGUGCAGCCUCCCCAACCCUUGAUCCUGUCACUUUGAUAGCUGCAAUUUUCACAGGUGUGAUUCAACAUCUUUUGUUUUACAUUUCCAUAAUAAUAAGAGGAUAUAUCCCCUGGAGAGAAAUUGCAGGGUCAUAGGGUAGAUAUACUUCUAGCCUUCUGAAGAUUUCCCAGACUACUCUCCACAGAGUUUGGACCAACUGACAUUCCCACCAGCAAUGCAGGAGGGUUCCUUUGUCCCCACAAUGGUGUUGGAAAAAAAGGGUUGAAAAGUGUGGAAGACUGAAACUGAACCACUAUAUUUCACCAAACACAAUGUAAAUUCCAAGUGGGUGAAGGACUUGGAUGUUAGACCAGAAACUAUCAGACACUUAGAGGAAUAUAUUGGCAGAACUCUUUUCCAUCUAAAUUUUAAAGACAUCUUCAAUGAAAAGAAUGCAAUCACAAAGAGGACUAAGACAAGAAUAAACCAAUGGAAAUACAUAAAAUUAAACUGCUUCUGCACAACAAAAGAAACUAAUACCCAAACAAAGAGACCCUUCACAGAAUGGGAGAAGAUAUUUACACGCUAUACAUCAGACAAGAGGCUAACAACCAAAAUAUAUAAAGAGAUUGACAAACUCAAGAACAAGAAAACAAAUGACCCCUUCCAAAAAUUAGGAGAGGACAUGAGCAGAAUAUUCAACACAGAAGAGAUUCAAAAAGCCAAGAAACACAUGAAAAAAUUCUCCAAGUCUUUGUCAGAGAAAUGCAAAUAAAGACAACAAUGAGAUACCACUUCACUCCUGUGAGAAUGUCAUAUACCAGAAAAGAGAGCAGCAACAAAUGCUGGAGAGGUUUGCUUCUGUUUUUCUUAGCAUUGGAAUCAAAUCCACAGAAGCAUCACUAUAACUGGCAUUAAAGAAGUUACUACUUACAUUUUCCACUAUGUACUAUUUCUGGCCUCACAUUAGGAUCACCAGUAAACUUUGAAUUUGUGUAUGUAUGUGGCAGAAGAGUGGGCUCAUUUCAUUCUUGUGACUAUUCAAUUUUCACAAUGUCAAUUAUUUAAAAGACCUUACUUUCCUCCAUAGUAUGUUCUUGGAUUUUUU